GCAACAUCAUCCGCAAAGGAUUUCUCAUCAUUUGGGCCACUCAGAUGCGUAAGGAACAGACGAUCCCAAGUUGACAAAUCAUAAGCCGCAAGCCCACUAUACUUGUUUCCCAGAACGUCGGCGUUUACCACGAGCAGCCGAUUCCUCGGGGGGUCGACUACGAUACCAACCGAAGAGUUCCCGGCUACGUCAAAGUCUUUCACCACAGUAGCCUCCUGUAAAACAGUACCAGGAGAGUAAUCGUCGGGCACGCGAAUUUCUCCUACUCCACCAUCCAAGAAGGAGACGAUAAA
rnacentral:misc_RNA from 1 species